ACGCUGCGUUCCUCAGUCCCCCAGGAUGUAUCCAACGGAAAGCUAUAACACAGCCGAGACUGCUACCUUCAAACCGUCAUUAUCCACCCCGGAAAACUGAUGCUGGCCUGCAAACCGAAGCAAGCUCCGGCAAGCAAGUCUGACUUCAAGCGUUUCCCUUCCAACAAUUUCACGUACUGUUAACUCUCUUUCCAAAGUGCUUUUCAUCUUUCCCUCACGGUACUUGUUCGCUAUCGGUCUCUCGCCAAUAUUUAGCUUUAGAUGGAAUUUACCACCCAAUUUGAGCUGCAUUCCCAAACAACUCGACUCAUUGAAAGUGUAUCACAAAGCGCUGGGCGUCCGCACCAUAUACGGGGGUUUCACCACUAUGCCGCUGUAUUCCAACAGACUUGUGUGCGGUCCAACGCGGAAAACACUUCUAGAGAUUACAACUCGGACACCGAAGGUGCCAGAUUAUAAAUUUGAGCUCUUCCCGCUUCGCUCGCCGCUACUAGGGGA
rnacentral:rRNA from 1 species